UGCAAGCCAGCGAAGCAUUCGUGAAGCGGCGAACGGCUCAGUAGGACGGGUCUUAUCUGAUCACGGGGACGGAUAACCGCGGUAAUCUGUGGCUAAUACAGAAAGUGAGUGAGGACCUGGCCUAUCAGCUUGACGGUAAGAUAAGAGCUUAUCGAGGCGAUAACGGGUAACGAGGAAUCGGGGUUUGAUUCGGAGAUGGAGCCUGAGAGAUGGCUGCAACGUCCAAGGACGGCAGCAGGCGCGAAACUUACCCACUUGGAGGACCAGAGGUAGUGACGAGGCGUAUUUUUUGGAUAUGAGAGCUAUUCAAAACGUAGUUCGAAAGCGACUGGAGGGCAAGUCUGGUGCCAGCAGCCGCGGUAAUUCCAGCUCCAGGAGCGUCUGUGUGUGUUGCUGCGGUUAAAGGGUGCGUAGUCGGAAAUUAGGCCAACGAUAAAUGUCUUGCUCGAAGCAGAAGUUUUCGUUGGAACCGAAUUCUUGAGACCGGAACGGGGCGAUGUUAUUCGGCAGCGAGGGGUGAAAACCGAUGACCUGCUGAGGAGCGACGGAGGCGUAAGCGGUCGCCCGUGACGGGUCUGACGAUCAAGCACGUGAGCGGAAGUAUCGAAGACGAUUAGAGACCGUCGUAGUUUCCGCAGUAAACGAUGCCGACAGGAUUGAAGUGGGAUGCUUUGGUCCAAGGGAAACCGAGUGUAUGGGCUCCGGGGAUAGUACGGGCGCAAGCCGGAAACUUGGAAGAAAUUGACGGAAGGACACCACAAG
rnacentral:rRNA from 1 species